rnacentral:ncRNA from 1 species
AACACAUUGACCUUACUUUGAUAUUUUUUUUUCUUACCUGGUGAGGCAGGAAAGUGAGCUUCUGGUUCCAAGCGUCCGGCACAGGCUGAGCAUGACCUGCUCCACAGGCAGCGACAGGUGGGGAGUUUGACGAGCAAGCGGUAUACCUAUCAAACCACAAUGCAGGUGUCCUAAGGUGAGGUCAGGGAGGACAGAAACCUCCCGCAGAGUGAAGGGCAAAAACUCGCUUGAUCUUGAUUUUCAGUACGAAUACAGACCAUGAAAGUGGUCUGGUUUUUGGGGUUUUAAGCAGGAGGUGUCAGGAUGACUGGCAUGUGGCGGUCAAGCGUUCCUAGUGACAUCGCUUAUUGAUCCUUUGAUGUUGGCUUUCCUAUCAUUGUGAAGUAGAAUUCACCAAGUGUUUGGAUUGUUCACUCUUUAAUGGGGAAUAUGAGUUGGGAUUAGUUGAGUUGUUUGGUU